rnacentral:rRNA from 1 species
ACGUAGGGUGCGAGCGUUAAUCGGAAUUACUGGGCGUAAAGCGUGCGCAGGCGGUUCUGUAAGUCUGAUGUGAAAUCCCCGGGCUCAACCCGGGAACUGCAUUUGAAACUGCAAGACUAGAGUGUUGGAGAGGGUGGGGGAAUUCCACGUGUAGCGGUGAAAUGCGUAGAGAUGGGGAGGAAUACCGGUGGCGAAGGCGGCCAUCUGGACGAUUACUGACGCUGAUGCGCGAAAGCGUGGGGAGCAAACAG